GUCUAUUCUGCCCAUUGAGUAAAGUUCUUAAAAGGCCGCGGUAUUCUAACUGUGCAAAGGUAGCAUAAUCAUUAGUUUCUUAAUUGGAGGCUUGUAUGGAAUGAUUGGAUAAAAAUCGGAACUGUCUUUUCUUAAUAAAUUGAAUUUUAUUUUUGAGUGAAAAAGCUCAAAUGAAUCAGAGGGACGACAAGACCCUAUAAAUCUUUAUGAAGAUUUUCUUGUUUAAUGAAAUAUAAGUUGUUAAGUGUUAAUAAGAAACAGAUUCAUUAUACUGGGGCGGUAGAGAUAUAAAAAAACUAUUUAAAAAAAUAAACCAAAAUAUAUUUGUAAAGUUAAAAGAUCUUAAUUAUAGAUUUAAAGAAUAAGUUACUUUAGGGAUAACAGCAUAAUUUUUCUUAAGAGUCCGAAUCGAAAGAAAAGUUUGUGACCUCGAUGUUGAAUUAAAAAUUCCU
rnacentral:rRNA from 1 species